rnacentral:rRNA from 1 species
UACGAAGGGGGCUAGCGUUGUUCGGAGUUACUGGGCGUAAAGGGCGCGUAGGCGGCGCACCAAGUCAGGCGUGAAAGCCCUGGGCUCAACCCGGGAAUUGCGCUUGAGACUGGUGUGCUUGAGUACGGGAGAGGAUAGUGGAAUUCCCAGUGUAGAGGUGAAAUUCGUAGAUAUUGGGAAGAACACCGGUGGCGAAGGCGGCGACCUGGUCCUUGACUGACGCUGAGGCGCGAAAGCGUGGGGAGCGAACAGG